GGGCGUGUGGCUCAGUUGGUAGAGCGUUCGCUUAGCAUACUCAACCUUAGUACAAGGAUCAUUUGUAUGCGAAAGGUCCUGGGUUCGAUUCCCAGCUCGUCCA
rfam:Podospora anserina genomic DNA, chromosome 5.